rnacentral:lncRNA from 1 species
CGUUAAUAUUGAGUCACUGAUAAGGUCUUUGGAUCGGAACUAAACACAUUUAUUCUAAAAACAGUUGUUGGCAUGACACGGGUUAUGUUCUUUUCAUAUAUGUUAUGAUGGUAUGAUACUAAACCCCUAACGGGAAGGAUUGUGCCUGAUGUUCAUAUGAUGAAAUCAUAAUCUUUCAGUCAGUUUAAUUGAAGUCUGGAGCUGGCAUGUCAGUUAACUGCUAGUAGUCUGUUGUUAUUUAUGUAUUAUUGUCAUUUUGUUUAUUUUCUUUGGUUACAUCUUCUGACAUCAGACUCGGACUUCUCUUGAACUGAAUUUUAAUGUACGUAUUGUUAUGCGUUUACUUUUCUACAUUGGCUAGAGGUAUAGGGGGAGGGUUGAGAUCUCACAAACAUGUUUAACCCGCCGCAUUUUUGCGCCUGUCCCAAGUCAGGAGCCUCUGGCCUUUGUUAGUCUUGUAUUAUUUUAAUUUUAGUUUCUUGUGUACAAUUUGGAAAUUAGUAUGGCGUUCAUUAUCACUGGACUAGUAUAUAUUUGUUUAGGGGCCAGCUGAAGGACGCCUCCAGGUGCGGGAAUUUCUCGCUACAUUGAAGACCUGUUGGUGACCUCUGCUGUUGUUUUUUAUUUGGUCGGGUUGUUGUCUCUUUGACACAUUCCCCAUUUCCAUUCUCAAUUUUAUGUCCAUUUGAUGACAAUUUGAAAAACAGUAGUUUCUGUAUAUGUAUUAAUCACGAC